GGCAUUCGUAUUCUGUUCGUUAACGGGAGUAGUUGGCCAUCUGGAUAGAAAGUUGCAAGUUCAUAACAAAAAUUUGAAGUACAAUUUUUGCAUACAUAUAUACAAUAUUAAGAUAAAUUUAUGAGAACCCUGAAUUGUAUUUAUAUAAAAACUACUUAAGAUAAAGGAAAUGAAAAAAACCACGGACUUAUAAUUCGUACUAAUUAACGCGAUUGAAAGUGCAACGAAAUAUAGCUACUUAUAUAUGUAUAUGUAUAUGUUUAAAUUGGUUUCUUGUGUUAUUUGUUAAAAAGUGUUUAUUAUUCUAUAUUAAAAUUCAAAAUGGAUGAAAAUGUUGGGUCUACAACACCAACAAGUGAUAACCGAAAAGCCGACUUCGAGCAAGCCAUGAAUUUAACAGGUUUCGGGACAUUCAAUUUAUUGUUGCUCAUAGUUGGUACAUUUGCGACUUGCGCUGCCAGCUUUGAAACCACCACAAUGUCGUAUAUACUUCCAAUUGCUGAGUGUGAUCUUAAAAUGACACUUUUUGAUAAAGGAAUUUUAAAUGGAGCUACAUAUGCCGGAAUGAUAUCGUCGGCUGUUAUUUGGGGCUAUCUCGCAGACACAAUUGGAAGGAGAAAAGUUCUGAUUUAUGGUUUUUUAAUAGACGCCGUUUGCGUCCUUUGCAGCUCUUUGUCGCAAAAUUUUGAAAUGCUUGUUGCAUUUAAAUUUUUGGGCGGCUUCAUCGUGAAUGGUCCUGGUGCAGUACUAUUAACAUAUUUAACUGAAAUGCACGGCUCCGCCCAUAGACCACGAGUUCUUAUGGUUUACGGGAUGGUCAUGUCUUUGGCAACACUUAUAAUGCCACUAUUGGCUUGGGCGAUAUUUCCACAAGACUGGGAAUUCGUAUUGUUUAACUAUUUAAUAAUACAUCCGUGGCAAAUAUUUUUGGCAGUAUGCAGUUUACCAAGUAUAAUCAGCGGAUUAGGACUAAUUGCGUUGCCUGAAAGUCCUAAAUUUUUAAUGUCUCAAGGAAGAAAUGCUGAGGCCCUCCUAGCAUUUCAAAAGAUUUAUUCUAUUAAUAAAAGAACAAGCAGAAGUGCUUAUCCAGUCAAAGAGCUGGUUGAGGAAGUUCCGAAUCGUAUCUCGAAUGUUAAUGAGCUUAUAUUUACUGUAGAAAACAAACCAGUUAAGCAGAAAUACAAACGUGAGCCCAGAACAUUCUCCCAAGCUUUCAAGGAAGGAAUGAAGCAGAUUAAGCCUAUGUUCACAAAGCCGUUAUUAGGUCACUCCAUUCACGCGUAUGCGAUGCAAUUCUGUAUUUUACUUGGUUUAAAUACUGUUCGACUGUGGUUGCCUCAACUUUUUGCAUCGAUCGCUGAAUACGAAGCUCUAGAUAACGGUGAAUCAAGCUCAGCGAAUCUAUGUGCAAUUCUAGAGUAUAGUGUUAAUAAAACAUCAGUGAUUACAGAUUUCCACGACUCCUGUAGUAACUUACCAAACGUGUCAAUAGAUCUAUACGUUAAUAAUAUUGUCGUAUCGUCGGCUGGUGUAGUAGCAUAUUGUUUUGCUGGUAUUACUGUGCGAGCUAUAGGAGCUAAAAAUUUACUAAUUUAUGGACUCUUAAUAUCUGGCACUCUCGGCAUAUCGCUCUAUUGGUCGGUAAAUGGUCUUUCCACACUUAUUAUAUCAUCUGUGUUUUUAUCAGUGGCAGGGGUAUCAACAUCAUCUCUAUUAGGAGUGGUACUUGCUCUUUUUCCAACUUCUUUGAGAUCACUGGUGGUUGCAAUCGCAAUGAUGUUUGGUCGUCUGGGCGCUUUGACUGGAAAUAUGCUGUUUCCUGUUUUUAUGGAAAUGGGAUGUAUACAACCUUUUCUAAUGAUCGGCGGUGUGUUGCUUGCUGCUGGUGCUUUAUCUUUCAUUUUGCCAGACACGGAGGAAAUGUCCUUGAAGUGAAAUGUAUAUAAGAUACGGAAAUCAGUGUUUCAUGUACUACAAUAUAUCGACGUAUGCAUAACUUAGAAUAUUAAUUAUACAUAAGCAUAUGGAUUAGGUUUUAUGGUAGUGUACAUGCUGACGGUUUGUUUUUUUUAUAGAAAAUAAGUUCUAAAAUGUGCAAACAUAAGAAAGUUUCAACGUCUAUUAGAGAUAACUUGGAUACAACGAACCGCGAUUUACCGCGUGAUUUAAAAUUGCUUCGAAAGAGUUUGUGUGGUGUUAGUUAUUUUUGAUAGAAAUACAUAUGUAUGUAUGAAUAGAUAAAUAUUUACGAUGUUGGCUAAUAAAUAAAUCUGUUGAAUUUCUGAUAAGCA